UAAGGAAUAUUGGUCAAUGGACGCAAGUCUGAACCAGCCAUGCCGCGUGGAGGAUUAAGGCCCUCUGGGUUGUAAACUCCUUUUAUCUGGGAAGAAAUGUACUUUUUCUUGAGUACUUGACGGUACCAGAGGAAUAAGCACCGGCUAACUCCGUGCCAGCAGCCGCGGUAAUACGGAGGGUGCAAGCGUUAUCCGGAUUCACUGGGUUUAAAGGGUGCGUAGGUGGGCAGGUAAGUCAGUGGUGAAAUCUCCGGGCUUAACCCGGAAACUGCCGUUGAUACUAUUUGCCUUGAAUAUUGUGGAGGUAAGCGGAAUAUGUCCUGUAGCGGUGAAAUGCUUAGAUAUGACAUAGCACACCAAUUGCGGAGGCAGCUUACUACAUAUAAAUUGACGCUGAGGCACGAAAGCGUGGGGAUCAAACA
rnacentral:rRNA from 1 species